CGUGAUAUGAAAUAAGGGAUGUUGCAUGCAGGCUGACCCUUAACAUCAGGACUAAAGUGGAGAGAUUUAGAAUACAUCUGUUUACAGAAGCCAGAAAAAGGAUCACCAUGAUCUUGAAGCCAAAGUCUCCGUAUUUCUCCUCAUCAGUGUUAUGCAGUAGGUUCCAGAUGUUUCUGCAAAGUUACAUGAAAUUUUAAGCAUUCUCUUAACCUUAAUUGGCAUCGUUUGACUGAAAAUAUGAUAUAUCAAGGUGUGAGAAUUUUCUAAGACAGGCCCUGAACAUGACUCAACCACUAACAUAUUGGUGCCAAAAUUCUAGCUAGGGCAACUUCAGGUAAGACAGAAGCUUUUCAUUAGACCUAAAAGGAUUGCUUGGCAAGAAGGAAAACUUACCUCAUAAUUGCAGAUCUUAAGCUUAUGGAAGUCAGAGCAGCCCCCAGAGAUUCCUCCAAACUUGGGCAUAACCAGAUAAUGAGGGGAGGAGAUAUGAUUUAGCAUGGGCUGCACAUGAAAAGCUAAAGAACCAAACUGAAACAAAAUCCAAGUUGUGAAAUCUAUAGAAUGAUUG
rnacentral:lncRNA from 1 species